rnacentral:lncRNA from 1 species
CUUGCUUGGAAAUUCAGUUAGCAGGAUCAUAUUAUUUGGAAAUAGUGUUUUAAUUGGAAACUGAUUGCCACACCUUUCCUUGAAGAAGGACGCCCCAGAACAGAGAGGACUUCCCUCCAGCUGGUGCUACAAGUGCCGAGUAAGCCUGUCCUGUGCUGACAUUGGUGGGGAAGAGUGACAUCGGGCGCUGGCUGGGGGCCCACUUGGUAGCAGGAGACCUUUGCGGCAUGAGCCAGAGGACGAGGUGCAGAGCCCUCCCUGGGACCGGCGUCAGACAGAUGGCCUGGCAGAUAUUCUGUGCCACCGACGGGCAGCCUGGCAUCUGGGGCCUCGUAUGCGAAUGACACUGCAAUUAUCACGAAAUGGAAAAGGAUGGAUACUGCUGUUGCAGUGGUUCAUGGGAGGAAUCCAAAUAAAUAUGACAUAG